AUUCGGCAUGAUAACUGGACGACGGUCUCAAAAACCCAACGACUCUAGUCUUUUAAGUUGCCGAUAGAUUGACCUGCGAAGAUCUUACACGUUCUCUGAGUUUUUUUCGCCAUGACGUCUAACGUUUAGUCUUACGCAACAUCC
rnacentral:snoRNA from 1 species